rnacentral:rRNA from 1 species
GUUGACCUCGGAUCAGGUGGGGAUACCCGCUGAACUUAAGCAUAUCAAUAAGCGGAGGAAAAGAAACCAACAGGGAUUGCCUCAGUAACGGCGAGUGAAGCGGCAAAAGCUCAGAUUUGAAAUCUGGCGUCUUCGGCGUCCGAGUUGUAAUCUGUAGAGGAUGCCUUUGGGUAGCCACCGGUCUAAGUCCCCUGGAACGGGGUGUCACAGAGGGUGAGAAUCCCGUAUGUGACCGGAAGGGCGCCCUAUACAUGGCUCCUUCGACGAGUCGAGUUGUUUGGGAAUGCAGCUCUAAAUGGGAGGUAAAUUCCUUCUAAAGCUAAAUACCGGCCAGAGACCGAUAGCGCACAAGUAGAGUGAUCGAAAGAUGAAAAGCACUUUGGAAAGAGAGUUAAAAAGCACGUGAAAUUGUUGAAAGGGAAGCGCUUGCAACCAGACUUGUUGGCGGUGUUCCGCCGGUCUUCUGACCGGUCUACUCACCGUCUGCAGGCCAGCAUCAUCUGGGACCGCUGGAUAAAAGCGGAGGGAAUGUGGCUCCUCCGGGAGUGUUAUAGCCCUCUGUGUAAUACAGCGAGUCCCGGGUGAGGUCCGCGCUUCGGCUAGGAUGCUGGCGUAAUGGUCGUAAGCGGCCCGUCUUGAAACACGGACCAAGGAGUCUAACAUCUAUGCGAGUGUUCGGGUGUCAAACCCCUACGCGUAAUGAAAGUGAACGGAGGUGGGAACCUUUUAGGUGCACCAUCGACCGAUCCUGAUGUCUUCGGAUGGAUUUGAGUAAGAGCAUAGCUGUUGGGACCCGAAAGAUGGUGAACUAUGCCUGGAUAGGGUGAAGCCAGAGGAAACUCUGGUGGAGGCUCGCAGCGGUUCUGACGUGCAAAUCGAUCGUCAAAUUUGGGUAUAGGGGCGAAAGACUAAUCGAACCAUCUAGUAGCUGGUUCCUGCCGAAG